UGCACUUUUGAGGCACUGGGGCUGGCCA
rnacentral:piRNA from 1 species